AGAACACAAACACAUACACAUAAUGCAGACUUGCGCACGCAUGCACACAAAUGCACACACAUACAAAUGCUCACAAAUGCAUGCACGCACACAUGCACCAGCACGCAGCCAGGCGCAAACACACACACACAAACAGGUAAACUCUCUCACACAUACACCAAUUUAAUUUCUCUCUACCCUUCCUGUCAUGUACUGUCAUGUUGUGUCUUGUCUCUGUCCUUUCCCUUCACCCUGUCUCCCUCUGCUGGUCGUUGUUAGGUUACCUUUUCUCCCCCAAUUUCCACCAGCUGUGCCUUGUCUCCUCCUAACCACCUCGUCACCCCGUUUCCCACCUGUUCCCUUUUUCCCUCUGAUUAGGUCCCUAUAUCUCUCUCUGUUUUUGUUCCUGUCCUUGUCGGAUUCUUGUCUCCCUCUGCUGGUCGUUGUUAGGUUACCUUUUCUCCCCCAAUUUCCACCAGCUGUGCCUUGUCUCCUCCUAACCACCUCGUCACCCCGUUUCCCACCUGUUCCCUUUUUCCCUCUGAUUAGGUCCCUAUAUCUCUCUCUGUUUUUGUUCCUGUCCUUGUCGGAUUCUUGUUUGUUUGUGUUAGUCAUGCCUGAACCAGACUAUCGUCAUGUUUGCUGCAACCUUGUCCUGUCCUGUCGGAAUCUGCCGGUCCGUCUGAGCCUACCUAUGUUUGGUAAUUAAAGAAGCUCUGUUUAAGUUAAUUCGCUUUUGGGUCCUCAUUCACGCACCGUAACACUUCCCCCAACACACCCACCCACACACACACACACACACACACACACACACACACACACACACACACACACACACACACACACACACACACGAUCACCUUCCACCUUUCCAUCAAACCCACUCCCAUACCUCACCUAUGACCUUUGACCUCACUUCUACAUUACAUUAGAUGAAAUAGUUAAUAAUAGAAUAGAAUAAUAGAAUAAUAGAACUUCUCAAACCUCGUUUUUACGUUUAUCUCUGGUAGGGAUUUUCUAUCAGUCUCCACAUUUAUUUUUUUAUUUUAUUUCACCUUUAUUUAAACAGGUAGGCUAGUUGAGAACACCUUUAUUUAACCAGGUAGGCUAGUUGAGAACAAGUUCUCAUUUGCAACUGUGACCUGGCCAAGAUAAAGCGUAGCAAUUCGACACAUACAACAACACAGAGUUACACAUGGAAUAAACAAAACAUACAGUCAAUAAUACAGUAGAACAAAAGAAAACAAAAAGUCUAUAUACAGUGAGUGCAAAUGAGGUAAGUUAAGGAAAUAAAUAGGUCAUGGUGGCGAAGUAAUUACAAUAUAGCAAUUAAGAAUGGUAGAUCGCCAGAAGGUGAAUGUGCAGGUAGAGAUACUGGGGUGCAAAGGAGCAAAAUAAAUAAAUACCAGUAUGGGGAUGAGGUAGGUAGAUAGAUGAGUUGUUUACAGAUGGGCUAUGUACAGGUGCAGUGAUCUGUAAGCUGCUCUGACAGCUGGUGCUUAAAGCGGAGGGAGAUAUGAGUCUCCAGCUUCAGAGAUUUUUGCAAUUCGUUCCAGUCAUUGGCAGCAGAGAACUGGAAGGAAAGACGACCAAAGGAGGAAUUGGCUUUGGGGGUGACCAGUGAGAUAUACCUGCUGGAGCGCGUGCUACGAGUGGGUGCUGCUAUGGUGACCAGUGAGCUGAGAUAAGGCGGGGCUUUACCUAGCAGAGACUUGUAGAUAACCUGUAGCCAGUGGGUUUGGCGACGAGUAUGAAGCGAGGGCCAACCAACGAGAGCGUACAGGUCGCAAUGGUGGGUAAGUGUAUGGGGCUCUGGUGACAAAACGGAUGGCACUGUGAUAGACUGCAUCCAGUUUGUUGAGUAGAGUGUUAGAGGCUAUUUUAUAGAUGACAUCACCGAAGUCGAGGAUCGGUAGGAUGGUCAGUUUUACGAGGGUAUGUUUGGCAGCAUGAGUGAAGGAUGCUUUGUUGCGAUAUAGGAAGCCGAGUCUAGAUUUAAUUUUGGAUUGGAGACGCAAUGAUCC
rnacentral:lncRNA from 13 species